rnacentral:rRNA from 1 species
CCCUUAGAUGUUCUGGGCCGCACGCGCGUUACACUGAUGCAUUCAACGAGUUUUUCCUGGUCCGAGAGGAAUGGGUAACCUUUUGAAAGUGCAUCGUGCUAGGGAUAGACUAUUGCAAUUAUUGGUCUUCAACGAGGAAUUCCUAGUAGACGUAGUUCAUCAGACUGCAUCGAUUACGUCCCUGCCCUUUGUACACACCGCCCGUCGCUCCUACCGAUUGGAUGAUCCGGUGAGCUAUUCGGACUUUCGCAUUGUCGAGUUUCGGCUUUACGAGGGAAAGUCUCGCGAACCUUAUCAUCUAGAGGAAGGAGAAGUCGUAACA